GAGGACAUAGCUCAGUGGUAGGGCACAUGCUUAGCAUGCAUGAGUUCCUGGGUUCAAUCCCCAGUAUCUCUG
rnacentral:tRNA from 1 species